GACGAACGCUGGCGGCGUGCCUAACACAUGCAAGUCGAACGGAAAGGCCCUGCUUUUGUGGGGUGCUCGAGUGGCGAACGGGUGAGUAACACGUGAGUAACCUGCCCUUGACUUUGGGAUAACUUCAGGAAACUGGGGCUAAUACCGGAUAGGAGCUCCUGCUGCAUGGUGGGGGUUGGAAAGUUUCGGCGGUUGGGGAUGGACUCGCGGCUUAUCAGCUUGUUGGUGGGGUAGUGGCUUACCAAGGCUUUGACGGGUAGCCGGCCUGAGAGGGUGACCGGCCACAUUGGGACUGAGAUACGGCCCAGACUCCUACGGGAGGCAGCAGUGGGGAAUAUUGCACAAUGGGCGGAAGCCUGAUGCUGCAACGCCGCGUGCGGGAUGACGGCCUUCGGGUUGUAAACCGCUUUCGCCUGUGACGAAGCGUGAGUGACGGUAAUGGGUAAAGAAGCACCGGCUAACUACGUG
rnacentral:rRNA from 1 species